GAUGUGACCUCAGCUCAGAUAGGGCUACCUGCUGAGUUUAAGCAUAUCAAUAAGCAGAGGAAAAGAAACUAACAAGGAUUCCCUUA
rnacentral:rRNA from 1 species